AUGGAAAGGGGAAGAAGAGUGAAGGUGAGGGCGACGGGCACGCGACCUGUGGGCGGGGCUCCGGUGGCGCGGCCUGGCAUGUGCGAGGAUGAGGCACGUGGUCACGUAUCCGUUCCUGGGGAGGCCUUGGACGGCUGGCGGCUUGAGCUCCAGGCGGCAGGGGGAGCUCCUGAAGAGAGAGAGAAGAUGUGUGAGGGUGAGAAAGACAGAGGAAAGGAGAAGGAUGGGAAGGAAACAGAGGAGAUGGACGCGACGGUCCUGCUGGUUCUGGUUGCCGGCGACAGGGCACUGGCGGAUCUGGCCGUGGGAGAGCGGAGGAGGCCGCAUCCGUGCGGUGGCAGGAGAAGAAGAUGGAGGCGGAGGAAUGGAGAUAUUCUGUGGAUAAGGGUAACGCAGUGCGUCUCGGUGGGGAUUUGCCUGUUGCUUUUCUUUAAUCAGGCGUUGUUGCUAGAAGCUGCGAGACGCACCGAUUACAAUUCUUUUUUGGGUGCUGCUGUUGGAUUUAUGUGUGGUUAUCUGCUAGAUGUCCCCUUCUCACAUCGGCCCACAGUGACUAUUUGA
rnacentral:rRNA from 1 species